CAGAAGAAGCACCGGCUAACUCCGUGCCAGCAGCCGCGGUAAUACGGAGGGUGCGAGCGUUAAUCGGAAUUACUGGGCGUAAAGGGCACGCAGGCGGUUAAUUAAGUUGGAUGUGAAAUCCCCGGGCUUAACCUGGGAAUGGCAUUCAAGACUGGUUAGCUAGAGUCUUGUAGAGGGGGGCAGAAUUCCAUGUGUAGCGGUGAAAUGCGUAGAGAUGUGGAGGAAUACCGGUGGCGAAGGCGGCCCACUGGACAAAGACUGACGCUCAUGUGCGAAAGCGUGGGGAGCAAACAGGAUUAGAUACCCUGGUAGUCCACGCUGUAAACGAUGUCGAUUUGGAGGUUGUGGUCAUGAACUGUGGCCUCCGGAGCUAACGCGUUAAAUCGACCGCCUGGGGAGUACGGCCGCAAGGUUAAAACUCAAAUGAAUUGACGGGGGCCCGCACAAGCGGUGGAGCAUGUGGUUUAAUUCGAUGCAACGCGAAGAACCUUACCUACUCUUGACAUCCAGCGAAU
rnacentral:rRNA from 1 species